rnacentral:rRNA from 1 species
ACGAACGCUGGCGGCGUGCUUAACACAUGCAAGUCGAACGGUAAGGCCCUUUCGGGGGUACACGAGUGGCGAACGGGUGAGUAACACGUGAGUAAUCUGCCCUGCACUUCGGGAUAAGCCUGGGAAACCGGGUCUAAUACCGGAUAUGAGCUCCUGCCGCAUGGUGGGGGUUGGAAAGUUUUUCGGUGCAGGAUGAGUCCGCGGCCUAUCAGCUUGUUGGUGGGGUAAUGGCCUACCAAGGCGACGACGGGUAGCCG